AUUGAACGCUGGCGGCAUGCUUUACACAUGCAAGUCGAACGGUAACAGGCCUUCGGGUGCUGACGAGUGGCGAACGGGUGAGUAAUGCAUCGGAACGUACCCAGAGGUGGGGGAUAACGCAGCGAUAGCUGUGCUAAUACCGCAUGUGAUCUGAGGAUGAAAGCGGGGGACCGAGCAGCAAUGUUUGGCCUCGCGCCUUUGGAGCGGCCGAUGUCGGAUUAGCUAGUUGGUGGGGUAAAGGCCUACCAAGGCGACGAUCCGUAGCUGGUCUGAGAGGACGACCAGCCACACUGGGACUGAGACACGGCCCAGACUCCUACGGGAGGCAGCAGUGGGGAAUUUUGGACAAUGGGCGCAAGCCUGAUCCAGCAAUGCCGCGUGCGGGAAGAAGGCCUUCGGGUUGUAAACCGCUUUUGGCAGGAACGAAACGGUGUCCGCUAAUACCGGGCGCUAAUGACGGUACCUGCAGAAUAAGCACCGGCUAACUACGUG
rnacentral:rRNA from 1 species